AGCCAUACAUAGCUUUUGGUUUUCUUGUGAAGGUUUUACAGGAAAUGGUGCUUUAUUUCCGAUUUCCUGUCAGUGGAACGCAACUUUUCUUAAACACUAAGCGGUACAGAAAAUGGAUGGAUGGAUGGAUAGUUACCAAGUCGUACGUAGAUGGUUUUCCUGUGUUGUGAGUACGAUGUAACACAACGGGAUUCUAGUGCAACAUGGGGCGCCGAUGCAACACUUCAUUGUACCAGAGUACUCCUGUGGUGGUGAUCUGUCUUGCAGCUUUACUCCUCAGCAACGUCUUGAUCUAUCUGUAUUUGGAUUCUGUGUAUCAGUCAGGUGGACACCCAGUCACUGCCCAUACGGGUUGUGUUGCUCAACACUUUAAAAUGCCAACGAUGAAGAACUGCACCCCUUGGCUGCACUGUCCCCUCAUAGAAGCGGAGGUUCGCAAACUAAAACUCAUUGGUCAGGGAGCAGUGAAGAAGGUCUACUUGGCAGAAUGGGAGGGACAAAAGGUUGCUGUGUCCAAACUGUCGUCUCUGAAUUACUCUCAGGAUUUUCUCCACGGAUUCUUGAUGUUAAAGGCAUUGCAGGGUCCCCUGGUGGUACAGUUGGUAGGCUUUUGCCUUGAAGACCAUACCUUUGUCACAGAGUACCAUCCAUUGGGCUCACUUCUCAAUUUGAACGCAGUUCUGGCCCAGGAGCAGCAAAAACAUCGCAACAUUUGGCAGACGCGGCUGUUGCUGGCGAUAGACUACGUCUCCAUCCUCCAUUACCUCCACAACAGUCCAGCUGGUCUGAGGGUAAUGUGUGAUUCCAACACCCUGGAGAAAACUCUCUCCCAGUUUCUGCUCACAAAUGACUUUCACCUGGUGGUGAAUGACCUGGAUGCACUACCUGAAGUGGACUUAUCCAGGGGUUUGCGGGUCAAAUGUGGCCACAGGGAGCUUAGUGGUAUUUUUGUGGCUCCUGAGCAGCUAUGGCCUUUCAAUAAUAUAGGGAAGCCUUUUUCAGAUGAUCUCAUGCAUGAGUAUGAUGAAAAGACAGAUAUCUGGAAGAUCCCAGAUGUGGUACAAUUCCUGAUAGGAAGAGUGGCUGGAGCGGAUUUGAUCCACUUCCAUCUUUUUCAAAUUCAUAAGGCAUGUAAGGCAGAAGACCCUAAACUUCGACCAUCAGCCCGAGACGUGGUGAUGGUUUAUAGGGCAGUUUACAGCAACAUGGCCAAAGAUAGCGCUGGGCUCAGAGAAAUGCUUUAACAUCUCAUUCUAAAUUGAAUGCAGUCCUACACGUAUUAACACACUAUCAUGCCAGAGACUAAACAGUUACACUAUUAGAAAUAAAUACUCACCCACCAAAACACUUUUUUUUUUGCGGAUAUCCCGUAUAAAUGGGUGUUUACUAAAAAGUACGUUUAUGGAAAGCUUGAAGUUUGAGAAAAAGCUGCCUGAGUGGUGCCAUCAUCAGGCAAACUACGGCCCGCGGGCCACAUCCGGCCCACGGGACCGUUUAAUCCGGCCCGCCAACCCUGAAUAAAUUGUAUUAUUAAACAUUUUUUUGGGUCAUCUUGCCUGCAAUGACUGUGUAGAUGGGGAACCACUCGCCUGCGCAUUUACUACCGGAAGCCGUGUCAGAAAGCUCGGUGCACACUCACAAGUGUGUGUACGUUCUCAGUAGUACGGACAUGGCGCACUCGCGCUCUAUUUCUAUCAGUGCCGAAUUUAGAGCGUGGGCUGUGACGUCAGCAUUCUUGUAAUUCACACACUGAGCUUUCAGAUAAAGUUUUACGCUAAAGCCACCCACAAACCUUUACCUGGAAUCCUUCCAUUAAGAUGAGUGGCCCAAGGGAAAGCAAGUUGGACACUGAGUGCCGAGUGUUUAAAAAAGAGUGGACAAUUUAGCUCGACGUACGCGACAUUGAGCCACAUCAACAUCAACCCGUCACAGAUCGAGGUAAACGGACCAACACCUCGGAUCUCUCCUAAGAAUUGCCACAACAAAUUUUACUCCAGACUAUGAUGCACUAACAAAAAAGGGAGACCAACAACACUGUUCCCACUGAAAAUGAAGGGGAGGCUCUCAAGUUUGUUGUAAAAAAAUGCAUUUUGAAUAUAAUUCGUACAAAUAGCAGGGAUUGAAACUAGCGAACAUUUUCAUUUUCAAACAAUGCUGGAUGCUCAAGAACAUUGAUGCACCACCUGUUUGCGACUAAUCUUAACCUGUAAAGUUCUUAAGGCUUACUUUAAGGAAGUGUUUCCCGUUUCCUCACCUCUGUUCCCAGGUGUUUGUGAGUUAAAACUCUGCUCUGAUUUUCAGAUACCCCUCACCGUGUUGCCGUUUUGAUUACUUUAUUUGGAUGUAUGUUUUCACCGAUUCUUCAAGAUGAUAUAGUAUUUGGUCAGAAUGUUUGCCGUUUGAUGUGAUCUCAUAAGAUAAACAUCUUUCAUUAAUCUGACCUGCAGGCACUGAAGUGAUGGAGACUGUUAUUCAUAAUAACAGUGUCGUAUUUUAUGAGAAUCACUGAUAGCAGUUUUUUAGUGUUUUUUUUUUUUUUAAUGCUGUUAAAUGCAUUUGUUUUCAAAAAACUUGUUUGGAAUAUCCAUGCUUUACUACCUACUAAAGGCCAAAAUCUUUUAUGCAAUGACCUUUACAGGUCGCUUAUAUUACUUCACACAAACACUACGUCCAUCUGCUCCUGGUUCGGCCCUGUGGUCCAAAUUUAGAACCCAGUUCGGCCCGCGAGUCAAAAGGUUUGCCCACCCCUGGGUUAGACACAUUGGACAACGAUGGUUACUUAAAGUUACUUAUAUCUUGUCUUGUCAUGUUACUAAGAUCAGAUUCUGCGGGUAAAAUUGCAAUAAUCAGGUGACUUGACUUGGAUUUGACUUGACCUAUUUAAGGAGUUGACUUGGACUUGACCUAUUUAAGGACUUAACUUGACCCACCCAAGAAGAAAAUGACUUGGGACUUACCGUUUUUUUUCCAUGUAUAAUGCGCCCCCAUGUAUAAUACGCACCCUAAAAAUGGCAUGUCGAUGCUGGAAAAAAGCCUGUACCCAUGUAUAAUACGCACCCACAUUUUCCCAAUAAUCGUCACAUACGCAUCUGGGUGUGGUGAAAUUUGUCCUCUGCAUUUGACCCAUCCCCGUGUGAUUUUGAUCCAUCUCCUGGGGGAGAGGGGAGCAGUGAGCAGCAGUGGGAAUCAUUUGGUGAUCUAACCACCCAAUUCCAACCCUUAAUGCUGAGUGCCAAGCAGGGAGGCAAUGGGUCCCAUUUUUAUAGUCUUUGGUAUGGUCUUAACUAGGCUGGAUGUAUUUUUUUUGUUGGCGUUGAUUUCUCCGACUGCCCGUAAAGUUAGGUUAAAAUGAAAAGAGGAAAGUGACGUGCGGACAUGUGAAAAAGGCGGCUCUGUAUGGGAGAGAAGUUGAAGAGGAAUAAAAACACCCUUGGAAACCAAAACUUGCCCCUCGUCGUGACUCGGAGCCGCAACAAAUGUUUCGGAUUUGUGUAGAGUACAUUGUGACAGCAAACGAGCAGGUGAUCGAGCAAGCGUCUGAUACGAGAGCAUUGCGUUUGUAUGGAGCGUGUUUGAAGUGAACAGCAGAGACGAAAGGAACAAGGCAAAGUGUUGUGAAAUAAAAUAUUACCCGUAAUACGCAUUUUGUUAUUUGAUGAUUGUAUUAAACUAUCACAUUCAUUGUCAGUCAAGAAGAGAAGAGGACUAUUCGCAUCAGAUCCAUAGUGCGCAUGCGGAGUGAUACUGCCUCCGUAUGACGUGCAGUCCGCGAUGGAGAUUAAAAAACAAAAACAUAUUAUUGUUCUAUUGGAGAAUGCUUUUAGAUGUUGUCUUUGCUUGUGUAACCUUGUGGCUUGUGUAUUAAAUGUGCUACAGUAUAUACUAAAUCAGUGGUUCCCAAAGUGGGCGGUACCGCCCCCCUGGGGGCGGUGGAAAGCUCUGGGGGGGCGGUGAGGAAGAAAGGGGCGGUAGGGGGGCGGUAGGGGGGCGGCAGUCGAUUUGUACACAACACGCACGCCGCUCUGGCCCAGUCAGAUACGACAGCAUAGCUACAAAAGCAAAAGCUCAGGUUUGUAAUUUCAAGCUUGUAAUGUUCAGAAUUUUAUCUUAUAAUAAAAACCGCAUUCUGGCGGUCAACAUCAUCUUGAGUUCAAGUCAACAUGAAAUUGGGGACUCGCCAGAACGCGCCGUGUUGUGUUGUGUUGAGCUGGUUAAGGCAAUGGUCCCCAACCACCGGGCCGCGGCCCGGUACCGGUCCGUGGGUCACUUGGUACCGGGCCGCCAAGCCGCACAGAAUUUUUUUUUUAUCGACGAUCAAUUAAUUCAGGUCAAGACGCUCGUCCCGGUCACGUGACAUGUUUCCCCAGUCGAGCCCGCAAAGCUAAUAUGUGGCGACAGGCUAACUAACCAGGCAGUGAAGCAUUCAAAACUGCUUCAACACAUGGAGACCAAGCAUCCUGCAAUAAAAGACAAACCUUAAAUCACUUCGGGUGUCAUUGUCUCCGAUUACGUCUAGAUGGGACCGGCUCGUUUCUGAGAAACAAACUCAGUGCUCCCACCAAUUCAACGUAAUGGUAAUGAUAUUAUAAAUGUAUUAUUUAUUUAUUUAUAUAAAUGUAUUAUUUAUUUAUAUAAAUGCCGGUCCGCGAAAAUAUUUCUGACAUGUAACCGGUCCGUGGCGCAAAAAAGGUUGGGGACCACUGCCUUAGAUCACGUCCGCCACCAUUUUCUGUGAAUAAAUGGAAGAAAAUGAAUACAUGAGAGGGUAAACUUGCUUUUCAUACCUUCAAUGUUGUCAUUUUUGUCUUUAAGUAGGCCUAUUUAUGAAAUGCGAUAAAAUGCUGUAUUUUACAUGGUUUUAUUUUUUUGUUCCAGAAUAAAGUAUGGCCUUGGUACAGCAAACAAAAAAGAAGUGUCGGCAAUAUAGUGUGGAAUAUCUGAAAUAUGGAUUUGUCGCAGCACCACACAACCAACAGCAACCAAUGUGUCUACUGUGUGAUAGAGUGUUUUCAAAUGAAGCUAUGAAACCUUCGAGGCUUUUGGAACAUUUGAAGAAAAUGCACUCUGAUAAAGCAGACAAAAACUUGGCAUAUUUUCAGUCACUCCGAGACAAUGUUCAGAAACGGAAAACCAUCGGAAAUAUGUUUGACAGCAUUUCACAACAAUCUAGGAGGGGGGCGCUAGGAAUUCACUGGGGAGCCAAAGGGGGCGCCAGCCUGCAAAAGUUUGGGAACCACUGUACUAAAUAAAGCUACUUUGCCUCACAUACUCCAACUUAAGUGUUACAUUUGUUUUUGUUUUUAAUUAACAGAUAGGCCACGGUAUUCUUAGGUUAAAGAAAAUGUCAUGUGGAUGUAAAAAUAGUUUAUUCUAGGAUAUCCACUUUCCUCCCACACUCCAAAAACAUGAAUGGUGGGCCGAUUGACCGCUCCAAAUUGUCUAUGUGAGCACAACUAAACCUAACCCAAAAAUCCCGGAGAAAACCCACGCAGGCACAGGGAGAACAUGCAAACUCCACACAGGGAGGACCGGAGGUGGAAUCGAACCCGCACCCUUCAAACUGUGAGGCGGACAUGCUAACCAGUGCGUCAGCGAGCCACCACGCAAGAUGAUAAAUUUUCAAAAAAGGACAGAUCCAGGGAUUAGAAAGGCAAAUGUGAAAAAGCACGGAAAAGUAGCGUGGAGGAAACAAUCGGAUAAACUUAAGAAGAGGAAAUCAGUUAUGGGUAGGGGAGGUCAUAAGCUUGGGAGAAGAGGUACGUUUUUAGACGGGACUUAAAUAUGGAGAGUGUGGGUGAGUCACAGACAGACUGGGGGAGAGAGUUCCAGAGUCGGGGUGAUGUGCAGGAGAAGGCUCUGUCACCGAAGGAUUUGAGUUUGGAUUUUGGGACUGUCAGACGUGAAGUAGAGGAGGAUCGGAGGGGUCGGUUGGGGCAGUAGGGGACAAGGAGGUCGGAUAGGUAAGUGGGAGCCAGGUGGUGAAGGGCUUUGAAGGUGAGGAGGAGUAUCUUGAAGAUGAUACGCUCCUUCAUGGGGAGCCAGUGAAGAGAGUUGAAGUCUAUGGAGUGAGUGAGCAGUGAUUCCAGUGAGAAGGGAGUUGCAGUAGUCAAGCCGGGAUGAGAUGAAGGCGUGGAUGAGAGAUUCAGCGGCAGGGAGAGAAAGGCAGUGACGGCUUUUAGCGAUACGUCGGAGGUGGAAGUAGGAGGUCUUGACAACUGAGCUAACAUGAGGUUGAAAGGACAGUGUGGGGUCAAAAAUAACGCCAAGAUUGCGUGCCAGAGGGGAGGGAGUGAUGUUUGAGGAGUCAAUGGUGAGUGUGAUGGAUCCAGUUUUAUUAAGGGAGGAUUUAGUGCCUAUGAUGAGGAGCUCUGUUUUGUCACUGUUGAGUUUGAGAAAGUUGUGGGUCAGCCAUGCUUUUAUUGUAGAGAUACAGGUUUCAAAAUGGGUGAGGAAAGGGUUACGGGUUGGUGUCGUACGUUUAUAGAUCUGGGUGUCAUCAGCGUAGCAGUGGAAGUCCAGAUUGAGUUUGCGGAUGACAGUACCAAGGGGAAAGAGGUAACAGAUGAAUAGGAGGGGGCCAAGAACUGAGCCUUGGGGGUCCCUUUGUGUAACUGGGGAGAGGAUGGAUGUGUGACCGCAGAGAGAGAUGAACUGGUUUCUGUUGGUGAGGUAGGAGGUGAGCCAGUCGAGUGCAGUGCCCUCAACACCUAGUUGUCGCAGCCUUUGGAGGAGGAUGGAAUGGUUCACAGUGUCAAAGGCUGCGCUAAGGUCAAGUAGUAGUAGGAUGUUGAGGGCACCAGAGUCUGCAGAAAUGAGGACAUCGUUGGUGACUUUAAUUAGAGCUGUUUCAGUGCUGUGAAGUGGGCGGAAUCCGGACUGGAAGGGUUCAUAGAGGUUGUUGGACUGGAGAUGGGUGUGGAGUUGGGCGGAGACAAUGCGUUCAAGGGUUUUGGAAAGGAAUGAAAGGUUGGAGAUGGGACGGUAGUUGGAGAGGUUGAGUGGGUCCAAGGUGGGCUUUUUGAGGAUGGGGGUGAUGGCUGCAAGUUUAUAGACAGUGGGAAAGUGGCCAAGGGAUAAAGACUGAUUAAAAAGGGUGGUGAGGUAGGGGAGGAGGACAGGGAGGCAGGCCUUAGUUAAGGUCGUUGGAAGAGGGUCAAGAGAGCAGGUGGUUGUCUUGGAUGAGGUCAUGAUGUCUAGGAUAGUGGAGGAGUCAACAAGGGAGAAGGCAGUGAGAGAGGGAAAGGAAGGGGGGCAGGAGGGCAGGGGAGGAGGAGUUAUUGAUGGUGUCGGUCAGAGAACUGUUGAUUUGGGCGAUUUUGUUGUUAUGGUUGACAAGGAAAGAGUUACAGAGGGCGGGUGAGGAGGGUGGCUUGGUGACCGGUGGCUGGAGCAAUUUGUUGAGGGUGGGGAACAGUAUGCGGGGGUUUUGGUUGGUGUUAUUAAUGAGAGAUCAGAAGUAAGCAGAUUUGGCAGCAAGAAGAGCAUCACGAUAGGAGGAGAUGUGUUGUUUAAAGGUUUCGGCAUGGACGGUGAGGCGGGUUCUUUUGUAGAGGCGCUCGAGCUGAGUUUGUUUCAUGGUGCGGAGUUCCGGUGUGUACCAAGGGGCGGAGUUAGUGAAUGUAACAGAGGAAGUUUUCCAGGGGGCUAGGGAAUCAAGGGAGUCAGAAUUAUUUUGUUGAGCGUGGUGGCAAGGUCAUCAGGGGAGGAAGAAGUGGGGUCGGAGGGAAGAGCAGAGGAUAAGAGCUGGCAAAGCGUGAUUGGGUUUACAGUCUUGAUGUUGCGGUAGGAGAUGGUGCGCUUUGUGGAUUUAUGAGGCGAGGGUAGAGGGGCGGAGAAGAGGAUGCAGAGAUGUUCUGACAGUGGAAAGGUGAGAGGACAGGGGUUGGAUGUGAGUGGAAAGGAGGAGCAUACUAUAUCCAGGGUGUGGCCUUUGGUGUGGGUGGGGAAGUUGAUGUGCUGGGUGAGAUGAAAGCAGUCCAGAACGGAGAUGAAGUCAGACGUCAGUGGAGCAGUUGGCUGGUCGAUGUGGAUGUUGAAGUCACUGUUAGGGUUUGCAGAAUAUCUUCAUCGUAUGAUUAUGUUGGAAUAUAACCUGUAAUAAUUUAACUAGUUUGUCCUGUCUAGACAAAAGUAGUUGACCAAAGUGGUAAGACCUUUUCAACUUAUUGACUAGCUGCAGAGGAAGCAAUCAAAGUUGCUUUGUUUACAGAACGUCGUAAAAGGUCCCCUGCUAUGCUUUGAUCAGCAGGGGACCGUCUUCACCUUAUCCUGUGUGUUCACACACCCCCACUUUCAACCCCACUCUGUUUCUCUCAAUAAAUAAGCACCUGACGAGGCCUGAGUCAGACUUCAUUCGACCAUCGCUGUAAGCACAGCGACGAGUGAACUCUCCGCCUGCAGGUGUCUAAAAUGACUAACUUGACUCCAGUGUGGUUCUUGCAAAAUAAGUUAGAGUGAGCACCACCCUAACAUUUUGGUGCCGAAACCCGGGACCCUCAUACCCGCCAUCUGGCUGACGGAGGAGGACGUGCUGCAUUGUCGACAAGCCAGCGUCCUUUAGGGGGACCUGGAAAAGAAAGUCCUGGGAAGAGAAUUUCUUCGCUGGGCCAGCAUCUUAGGUCUGCCUUCGUCUGCCAGAGGUGGAUUGACGGGUUCCCGCAAUGCAACGGACCAGGGGUCAGGUAAGUUAAAAAAUUGUGUGGUUGUGAAACGCGUAAAGGGUGCACGGGAGACAGCUUGGGUUCAAGUCCCAGAGGAAGGAACAGGCUAAGAAAAGCAGAGCUUCUUUUUCGUUCAUCGAAGAAGUGUGUAGAUUCUUCUUUGUCUCUUUUUCCAAGCUGAGGGAUCUGGCUUGGGUUAGAGUCCCAGUGGAAGGAACGUGCUAAGAAACACGGAGCUUCUAUUUUGUUAGUCAAAGAAGAGUGUAGAUUUUUAUUUGUACGUUUUUCCGGCCAAAGAACAGCUUGGGUUCAAGUCGCAGUGGAAGGAACGGGCUAAGAAAAAACAGAGCUUCUUUUUCUUAAUUGAAGGAGGGCGUAGAUUCUUUUUUUGUCCGUUCUUCCAAGCUGUGUUGGAGGGUUUUACACCCAUCUUGGAUAGGCCAAGAAAUAAAAAGCGUUGGUGUUUGUGUGGUUGAGAGAGUGCGACUGGUAGGAUAAAUUGACUGCAAAGAGAAUUUGGUGGAAGGUCAAUUUAAACCUGCAUUGAGGAUCCUCAAAGAAAAGAAAAGGAAAAAAAAAGAAAUAAAAACAUUGUAUAAACCAAAAAUACCAAAUUAAGAUGGGAAAUAAGAACGGUAGAUCUCUAGCUCUUGAAGAAGAUGAGAAGUUCAUGGCGAGUAAAUGUCUUAAUUGUAUGCAAUACAUGCCGAAGUGGAAGAAAAAGUAUGGAGUAGAAGGGAAGUUGAAAGUUGAAGUGUGGAAGAUAGUGGUUGAUGUUUUGGAGGAGAGUGUAGAUAGGAUGACAAAGGGACAGAAAAAGAAAAGGAAAGAGAGAGAGUUGAAUUGUGCUAGAAUGUGGUUGAAAGCUUCGCAAGAGAGAAGAGAACAAAUUCAAGAGACAAAAAAUGGAAAGAUAAAAAGUGAUGAGACCACCAUUCAAUUAAGAUUUGGAAAAGAAUUCUGGGUGCACAGUGGCAUCCCAUUCGAUGAUGCAGCUGAGAGUGCUUAUCUGCAACAUCUUAGAAAUGCGCUCCUCACUGUUUCACCCCCCGACUUAGGCAACUGGGUGAGGAAACACUUGGUGGAAGCAGACACUGCUUGUGUUGUAACGAUUGAGAAAGGCAAAUGUUCUAAUGUAUUUCAUCUAGAUGAUGAUAAUGAUCUAAAUGAAGAUGCAACGAUCUUCUUCCGAAGCUCCCAAAAGGGCAGAGGAAGAGUUAGAGACCAACAAGGCCGCAGGCCGCCAUUCAAUUCAAACUCCAGCUCAAAUUUGGACUGUUGGAACUGUGGGAAACGGGGCCACUUGGCGAGAGCGUGUCGUCGUGCAAAACAAUACCAAUCAAAGGGUGGAGGAAGAGGCAGAGGAAAAGCCAAAUUUUCAACAUGUCAAGCUUCCCCCCCCCCCCCCCCCCUUUUUGACCGCUCAUGCUAGUACAGAGACAUUGUAUGCUACAUUUAAUGGAAAUUAUUGAUUGGUUGUGUUGUAAGAUUAUGCAAACUUCUAUGUGUAAGCUAAAUCUGAGAGAUUGAGUUCUUUGAAUAUGAAAACAAAGAGAAAAUCCUGAUUAAUUUGCAAGCAGUUUUUUUUGUGUUGAUUUCCUUUUUUGGAUUGGUGGAUUGUUCUAUCAGGAACCUUGAGUUGAAAAUGGUAUGUGAAUGUUGUGUGGAGUGCUCGGAUGAAUUGGGACCAAUGUGAUAGAAAGACUCCUUUUUGGAGACUGUGUGUGAGAUGCAAAUGAGCAUUGAUGACUGAAUGCCCGACUGAAGGGAAAAUACAGGUUGAAUGGUUGAAGUUGUUGGAGAAUACUAUGGAAGAUGAGUUGAGCGACUUUGAGUAAGUUAGAUGCUAGAAAGGAAAGAAGGAAAAAAACAACAACCCCCAAAUACAAACAAAAGAAUAAUAAAGGUUGCUUUUGACGAGAGUUGCAAAGAACAGACGAAGGACAGUCCUUGACCCGGCAUUUGCGUUUCGCGGUCGUCAAUGUGGUUCCAAGACCUGCGUCUUGUGGUUUGUCAUUUGUAACGUUUGGCUGUUGUGAUCCUCCCAAACAGACAUAAGUGAUUUGUGUUUUUGUUGUUUGUUGUAAUUGGUUAGUGGGAGGACUGCUGUUGAGACUGUUGUCUGCGUGUUGUGUUAUGUGUUAAAAGGAUGAAAUUCGCUAAUAUAGGUGCACUAAAGAAUUUAUUUAUCUGUAGUCUAUCUGAUUUGUACCGCAAAACAAAACCGAUUUUGUUAAGAUAGGAAGGAAAAAUAAAAAAGCGAGCAAUUUGUUUAUGGGCAGAAACUGGUCCACACUCCUUUGAUGCCUUGUCUUGAUUAAACAAAAUUUGAGAGAUGGAAAGGACUUGCUUUCUGGAAUUGGAUGAUGAACAAUUAUGAAAUAACGACAUUUCAAAGCUAAAUUUAAAAUUUGAGAAUAAGAGAGCGAUUGAGUUAGUUAAAGUUAAGAAACUACAACAGUUAACUAUUAUAUUACUUUACCAGCAGUUAUUUUGUUGAUUUUUUUAAUUUUUUUUUAUUCGAUUGGUGGAUUGGGUUGUUACGUUGAGAAAGGGAAAGUAACGAUACAAAUGGGCAGCUGUAUUGAGCCAUGGUGUUGUCACGUGCCGUUGACACCUGGCUCAACAGGGGGGAUGGAAGGGCAGUUCAGUCAGCUUUAUACAACAUAUGAAUUUGAUUCAUAUUCAAAACGUUUAUAAAAAAAAAAAAAAAUUGUAGAGCUUGUUUGACAUGUGCUAAACACAAUCCACAGGGUUAUUGUCACGGUCCGGAGUAGAGAAAUGGAGCAGGGCGACCAAGUGCAGCUUGGACCAGGGUUUAUUGCAGCAAACUCAAAAGACUCGGCAAACUGACGUGACUAACAGACCAAAGCGUGAAACAAAAGCCAGGAACCAAACAAACCGUGACCGUGAGACAUGAUUGUCCACAUCUUACGCACAAUGCUCCGACGGGGAGUGACCCGCAAACAGAACUUAAAUACAUCACAGGUAACGAGAGGCAAGUGCGUGUGGUUACAUUAAUCAAGGGCACACAGGAAGGGAGGGGCGAGCACACAGACACAUAACCAAAACUGGAGACGAGGCAUGACAGUUAUAAUGCCUGGUCAUAAUAGAUGCAUUCUAAAAAUGGAUUGAAUUGGCUUCAAAAUAAACACUGAAUGCCUUAACAGUGGCAGAAAGGUUAUGUAAAGAAAUAAUAGUUUGUCAACAACUGCUGUAGAUGUUAAAGAAUGGAAUCAAUAUCUCGAAAAUGAAUGUGGAUAGUUUGUCUACUGAUUGUGAAAUGUGCGACAAAGUGUUCUAUAUAAUAUCCGUUGAAAGAAACAAAAAAGAGAAAAAAGAAAAGAAACCAUUGCUUUUAGAGAAAGUAGUCAACCAAAAUUGUAUAUGUAUCAACAUUCCAAGAUCUGGGAAAAAGCUGGAAAAAACAAAAACAUAAUGUCUUUAAAUUUGAGAGGCGACGAUGAUCUGAAUGAAAUUGAUGCAAUUAGAGUCCCCAGAGGAGUUCCUGAUUAAUAAGAAUUAAUUGGCCAAAUUGAAGCGGGAUGGGAGUCCAUUUGCUGCUGGUGGACGAUGAACAAGAACGUUGACAGGAUAAAUUACAUGCAUUGCAACAUGCAGAAAUUGGGCAAACGGACAAAAGCGGGACUUGAGGCAGUGCACGAACAGCUAGCCAUGCCUUCCCUAAUGUCAAUCCAGAACCGCAAUGCUCUUGUUAUGUUGUUGUCUGGGAAAGGAAGGGUCUGCGCAAUGUUCAGGGAACAAUGCUGCACCUUCAUCCAGAAUGACACCGCCCCUGAUGGGAGCCUGACGAAGGUGAUUGCAAACUUGCAAUCCCCCAACACGAGGAUGAAAGAGCACAACAAGUGGAUGACUGCUUUUGGGAAGUAUAAAGCCCUUGUGUCCUCAAUUACUGCUAUACUCACCUUGUGUGGAUGUUGUUGUAUUCCAUGUCUCCGUGCUCUGUUUAAUCGUCUUAUCACUACAGCAAUCUCGCCCAUGGACGACAAGAUGGCCCAGGGAUGCCUAAUGUCUGAACAGCAGCAUGUUGAUGAUAAUGAUGCAAUUUUUGCACUUGAGUUUACAGACUUUUUCCCAGAUCUGUGUGUUUCCAAAUGGUAAUAUCGCAACAUUUAUCCUUUUUUGAUGUAAACUUAUUUGUGCUCAUACUUGUGAUCCGACAACUGAAAAUCAAGAGAAGUGGUUGUUUUUGGUAAUGUAAAAAUUGAGCAAAUGUGUGAUAAACAGGAGGGAAAUGUUGGAAUAAUUUAAGUGAAGCCUUGGCCUGCCAGACCUGUAGGCCUUGUCUUUACGAGUUUAUGGCUUUCCUUUUAUCAACGUUCUUCCUCUUUAGUGACAGGGAUGUAUUUUGAUCCCUGUUAGCCAUAUGUAUCCUUCCUGUCCUUAUGUUAGCUGUGUGUUUUUGUUCCUGUAAGAGGCCUUCACUAACAAUGAGCAGAGCUUGUUUGCAUAGGCAAAAUGUUCUUAUUUGGUUGAAAGAAACUUCAUUCCUUUUAGUUAACUGUAGGUUUGGUUCAUAGAUUGUUGUUGAUCAGAACUGUUUUUCUUUGCUAAGUGUUAAACACAGUUUGAAGUAAUUAAUUCUCUGGUUCUUCUAUAUCAAACAAUUUGUUUUAGGUUUAUUUACCUGACAUGUUUCGGCGGAUUCUUCCGCCUUCAUCAGAGUGUCACUGAUGUGGUUGUGACGCGUCUUUAUCAGCUGAUGGAUGAAGGCGUGGCUCACCUGUCAGAUUUGACAGGUGAGUCAGGCCCUCUGCUGUCAGUUCACCUCUCCAAAACACUGUUCCAGGUUGUAGAGAGCAUGUAGGCUCCCUCGUCCCUGUUGAUGGUCCUCGGGCCCCGCUUGCGGAUCUCAAUGGCCUCCCUGAUCCAACGCUGAUGUUUGUUUUCUUCAGUGCGGAUGACUCUGGCCUUCUCCCAGUCCAUGAUGUGGUUUCCCCUUUUACAGUGGUUGAUGAUGGCUGACUUGUAGUGUUCCUGCUGUGCUUGUAGUUUUAUUGCUCUUGUUUGUCUUGUUGCUGUCUCCUUCUCACAUUCCUUCUUGUGUUCCAUUUUUCUUGUGAUGAAAUUCCUCCCUGUCUCCCCGAUAUAUGAUUUAUUACAUGAUUUGCAUGGAAUCUCGUAUAUGGAAUUGCAUUUAUUUUCCGGAUUGACUCUGUCCUUUGGGUGGACCAGUAUCUGACGGAGUGUUAUAUGUGGUUUGAUAGGCGUGCUUAUGUUGUAUUUUUUCAUUGCUCUUUUGAUGCGUUCCGUAAUUCCUCUCACAUACGGCAACGUCACCAUUCCGCUGGGUUCCUGUUUCCUUGUUUGUUUCUUUCUUUGCUCCUGUGUUUUGUGUUUCUUGUUUUUUACCUGUUCUGCACCUUUGGUUAUUGCCCAUUGUGGAUACUGACAUUUUUUGAGUGCGUGUUGUAUGUAUUUUUCUUCCUGUGUUAUGUCGUCCGGAUCUGUGAUUAUUGUUGUACGUUCGUAUAGUGUUCUGACUACUGACAGUUUGUGUAUAGUGGGAUGUUCUGAUGUCCAGAGGAGGUAUUGGUCGGUGUGUGUGGGUUUUCUGUGUACUUUUGUUUUUAUGUCACCAUAUUCUGUGUGGUGUAUGUUGAUGUCUAAAAAGGCUAUGGAUCGAGCUGUUUCCUCUUCAUGAGUGAAUUUGAUGUUACCCGUGGUGUCUAUGGUGUUGAGAUGGUCUGUGAGGUGUUGUGUAUGUCCUGUUUUUGUUUUUUCCAGAAUGUCGUCGACGUAACGUUUCCAUAGAGUGGGUUUGUAUGUGUCCGGGGCUGUUAAGAGUGCCUUCUGUUCUAAAUCUUCCAUAAAGAAAUUGCACAUGAUGGCAGAAAGAGGGUCUCCCAUGGGGAAUCCCUCUUUUUGCCUGUAUAUUGUGUUUCUGUAUUGAAAGUAUGUGGAGGUAGCGAUGAAAUGAAGUAGUUGGGUGAUGUCUUGUGCUUUUAGAUUUGUCCGUUUCUUGAGUGUCUUGUCUGCUGAUAGUCUGUCAUGUACUAUGUGUAUGGUGGGUUGUGUGGGCAUUUUUGUGAAGAGUGAAAUGACGUCGUGUGAUAUGAGCAUUUCAUCUUUCUGUACUUUUAUGUGUGUGAGUUCCGUGGCAAGCUGUCUUGAGUUUUUGCAGUGUUGAUCCGUGUUUCCUAGUAGUGGUUUUAUUAUUUAUGUGAGUGCUUUUGAAAGGUUGUAUGUGACUGACCCUAUGCUGUCUACAAUGGGGCGGAGAGGUGUACCUGGUUUAUGGAUUUUUGGUGUGCCAUAGAUUCUGGGGAUGAUGUUUGCCGUGGGUAUUAAGUGGUUGUAUACCUGUUUGUCUAUUUUAUUUUCCAUGAGUAGUGGUUUGAGUAAUGCUUUGAGUUAUUUUUCUUGUCUUCUGUUGGGUCUUUUUUUAUUACUUCAUAGGUAUCGUCCUGUAGUAACUGUUGCAUUGAUUCUUUGUAGGUGUCCGUGUCCAUAAUCACUGUUGUUCUACCUUUGUCUGCCGGGAGGAUUGUAAUGUCUUUAUUUUUUGCUAGUGUAAUCAUUGCGUUUGCUUCCUGUUUUGUAAUAUUACUGGGUGGUGAUUUAGCCGUUUUUAAUAUCCCUGCAACUUCAUUGCGUAGUGCUGCUUUUUGACCUGGGUUAUGUAUUUUUUCGCAUGCUAACUCCGUGGCUAAAAUGAAAUCAUCGUGGGGUAUGUUUUUGGGUGUGAUCGCGUAGUUGAGUCCUUUUGCUAAUAUGCUGCGUUCUGCCUGGGUCCAGAUCACCCCAACGUUCUGGCUGAAGGUCCCAAGAAGGAGGGGGACGGAGCCUGCGUCGUCUGGACCCUAUAAAUUGGUGGAGCGCAUCUCACAUGCCGUCCGGCUGGCCGGCAAAGGAGGAUCGUGGUAUCAUCUGUCCCAGUGCGCCCCAGUGAAGGGUUCCUGCAAGGAACCAGAUCAGCCAUCGACAGUCCCCGCCCCAGUUCAUACAGAGGCAGAAUAAUCCUCUUCCCCCUUGGUGGCCAGGUAGUCCACCCUGAGCCACUGAAGACAACUACCACGCAGCAGACAUUCCCAAAUUCUCCCCGGACGGAGCAGAUCUGCGAAGGGCGUGAGAAUCGUGCUCACCCUCCACCAGUGGGCGUGCCAAGCCCCCAACGGCUGAACAAUCGCGAGCAAUUUUUAUCUUGAUUGAUAACAUUCUGGUCGCCUAAGGCAGAGGGACCGUGUAACUCUUUUCCUGCAUUUAAUCUGGCCGCAGGUUUUUUAAAUUACACACACAAUUUGGACUGGAGUAUUGAGGAAAAACCUCAUCUUCACUGGACGUUAUUGCUUUCAUUGUAUUUUCUUACUUAUGUUUGAUUGAUCGAGGUUGACAUAAUCAUAUGAUAAACCAGGAGGGAUAUGUUAGGGUUUGCAGAAUAUCUUCAUCGUAUGAUUAUGUUGGAAUAUAACCUGUAAUAAUUUAACUAGUUUGUCCUGUCUAGACAAAAGUAGUUGACCAAAGUGGUAAGAUCUUUUCAACUUAUUGACUAGCUGCAGAGGAAGCAAUCAAAGUUGCUUCGUUUACAGAACGUCGUAAAAGGUCCCCUGCUAUGCUUUGAUCAGCAGGGGACCGUCUUCACCUUAUCCUGUGUGUUCACACCCCCCCACUUUCAACCCCACUCUGUUUCUCUCAAUAAAUAAGCACCUGACGAGGCCUGAGUCAGACUUCAUUCGACCAUCGCUGUAAGCACAGCGACGAGUGAACUCUCCGCCUGCAGGUGUCUAGAAUGACUAA